GUCGAGCGGAAUUUUAUUGGUGCUUGCACCUUUAAAAUUUUAGCGGCGGACGGGUGAGUAACACGUGGGUAACCUGCCUUAUAGAUUGGGAUAACUCCGGGAAACCGGGGCUAAUACCGAAUAAUACUUUUAAACACAUGUUUGAAUGUUGAAAGACGGUUUCGGCUGUCACUAUAAAAUGGACCCGCGGCGCAUUAGCUAGUUGGUGAGGUAACGGCUCACCAAGGGAACGAUGCGUAGCCGACCUGAGAGGGUGAUCGGCCACACUGGGACUGAAACACGGCCCAAACUCCUACGGGAGGCAGCAGUAGGGAAUCUUCCACAAUGGACGAAAGUCUGAUGGAGCAACGCCCCGUGAGUGAAAAAGGAUUUCGGUUCGUAAAACUCUGUUGCAAGGGAAGAACAAGUAGCGUAGUAACUGGCGCUACCUUGACGGUACCUUGUUAGAAAGCCACGGCUAACUACGUGCCAGCAGCCGCGGUAAUACGUAGGUGGCAAGCGUUGUCCGGAAUUAUUGGGCGUAAAGCGCGCGCAGGUGGUUCCUUAAGUCUGAUGUGAAAGCCCCCGGCUCAACCGGGGAGGGUCAUUGGAAACUGGGGAACUUGAGUGCAGAAGAGGAUAGUGGAAUUC
rnacentral:rRNA from 1 species